UACAGAGGGUGCAAGCGUUGUUCGGAAUUAUUGGGCGUAAAGCGCGUGUAGGCGGCUUAGCAAGUCGGGCGUGAAAGCCCUCGGCUCAACCGAGGAAGUGCACCCGAAACUGCUGAGCUUGAGUGCCGGAGAGGAUGGCGGAAUACCCCAAGUAGAGGUGAAAUUCGUAGAUAUGGGGUGGAACACCGGUGGCGAAGGCGGCCAUCUGGACGACAACUGACGCUGAGACGCGAAAGCGUGGGUAGCAAACAGG
rnacentral:rRNA from 1 species